rnacentral:tRNA from 1 species
GUGUGUAACAGCUAGGUGGUAGAGCAUGUGCUUAGCAUGCACGAGGUCCUGGGUUCAACCCCCAGUACCUCCA